rnacentral:snRNA from 1 species
AUCGCUUCUUGGCCUUCUGGCUAAGAUCAAGUGUAG